rnacentral:rRNA from 1 species
GACGAACGCUGGCGGCGUGCCUAAUACAUGCAAGUUGAGCGCUGAAGGUUGGUACUUGUACCGACUGGAUGAGCAGCGAACGGGUGAGUAACGCGUGGGGAAUCUGCCUUUGAGCGGGGGACAACAUUUGGAAACGAAUGCUAAUACCGCAUAAAAACUUUAAACACAAGUUUUAAGUUUGAAAGAUGCAAUUGCAUCACUCAAAGAUGAUCCCGCGUUGUAUUAGCUAGUUGGUGAGGUAAAGGCUCACCAAGGCGAUGAUACAUAGCCGACCUGAGAGGGUGAGCGGCCAAAUUGGGACGGAGACACGGCCCAAACUCCUACGGGAGGCAGCAGUAGGGAAUCUUCGGCAAUGGACGAAAGGCUGACCGCGCAACGCCGCGUGAGUGAAGAAGGUUUUCGGAUCGUAAAACUCUGUUGGUAGAGAAGAACGUUGGUGAGAGUGGAAAGCUCAUCAAGUGACGGUAACUACCCAGAAAGGGACGGCUAACUACGUG